AUGGCGACGGCUCUCGGCCCGGCGGCCACGCUCCUCGGCAAGGUGUUCACGAUGCUGUCCUCCGUCCCGGUGGCGGCGUACGUGGACAGCCUCGAGCUCGGCCACAACUCCCAGCAGAUCAAGGCCAAGCUCGCGCACACGCGAGGCCUGCUGCACAAGGCCAAGGUGAGCGACGUCGGCCACAACCCCGGACUGCAGGACCUGCUACCGGCGCUGAGCAGGAACGCCGACCAGGCGGAGGACCUGCUGGAUGAGCUCCACUACUUCCAGAUCCAUGACAGGCUCCACGGCACCAGCUACGCCACCACCCAGGCCAAUUUUCUCCGUCAUGGUCGCAAUGCUCUCCGCCAAACUGCCACUAGCAGCUGGGCCGCAUGCUUUUCUUGUUCCUCUGCACAAGAUGAUAGUGGCGAUGAUGCUGAUCAUGGUGAUGACUUACGUUUCCACCCAGUGAUCUUCUCUAGGAAAAUCAAGUCGGUGUUACAGGACAUGCAGACCCACUGUGAUUCCGUCUCCGAUUUGCUUGGCAAUAUCCCAAGCAACAGCAUGGCAGCCGCCCUACACCGGCCACAGAUUGGAUCCACAAUUAUACAGGAUACAUUGUAUGGCAGGAGAGACACUUUUGAGGAAACUGUCAACCGUAUCAUCAGCUGCAAACAGACUGUUUCUGUUCUUCCUAUAGUUGGUCCAGGGGGUAUUGGAAAAACAACUUUCACCCAACACCUCUAUAAUGAUGCAAGGCUGUAUGGUGAUACUAGGGGAGCUGGAAAUCACUUUGAAGUCAGGGUCUGGGUAUGUGCGUCGACUGAUUUCGAUGUGCUUAAGCUCACCAGGGAGAUCCUUGGCUGCAUACCAGCAACUGAACAAGAAGGAAGCAACUGUGUUGCAAAUGAAACAAGCAAUUUAGACCAGCUUCAGAAAUCCAUAGCACACCGUCUCAAGUCCAAAAGGUUUCUAAUUGUCUUGGAUGAUAUAUGGAAAUGCGACGGCGAGGAUCAGUGGAAGACCCUGCUAGCUCCGUUCACAAAGGGGGAAACCAAAGGAAGCAUGGUACUUGUCACAACUCGAUUCCCAAAGGUAGCAGACAUGGUGAAAACAGUUGAUCCACUAGAGCUGCGAGGUUUGGAGUCUAAGGACUUCUUCGCGUUCUUUGAAGCAUGUAUAUUUGGUGAUCACAAGCCUGAGGAUUAUGAAUAUCAGUUAGCUGGUAUUGGAGGAAAAAUUGCAAAUAAGCUAAAGGGUUCCCCACUAGCAGCCAAAACAGUUGGCAGACUAUUGCACAAGGACCUUUCUCAGGAACAUUGGAAUGGAGUUCUUAAAAAGCAUGAGUGGCUGAAGCGCCAAAAUAAUGAUGAGAUCAUGCCAUCUUUAAAAAUUAGCUACGAUUACCUCCCUUCUGAUCUGAAGGAAUGCUUUUCAUACUUUGGCCUUUAUCCUGAAGAUCAUCGGUUUGAUAAUUCAGAAAUGAACCGCCUUCUUGUUGCAGUUGGCAUCACAGAAUCUACUCAGGAAGUUGACAGGAAUUACUUGGAGGAACUAGUGGACAACGGUUUUCUCAUGAAGCAAUCUGAUUAUCAUGGUCGAUACUACUAUGUAUUGCAUGAUUUAAUGCAUGAGCUAUGUCGGAGUGUUUCUGCACAAGAAUGCCUCAGUAUAAGUGGCUCACAUUCCAGAGCUGAUGCGAUUCCACAGUCAGUUCGACACUUAUCCAUCACCAUAGAAGAGAGAUAUGGUACAAAUUUUGAGGAAGAAAUGUGUAAACUAAGGGGGAGGAUAGACAUUGCUAGUCUGCGGACCUUGAUGAUUUUUGGAAUAUAUGAAAAAGGAAUCGCCGGAAGAUAUGAAAAAAGAAUCGCCAAGCUUUUGAAAGAUUGCUUCAAGCAAAUAAAUAGUCUGCGUGUCCUAUUCAUAGCAGUGAACUCUCCAGAAUGUUUUCCACAUAGGUUUUCAAAACUUAUCCACCUCCAGUACCUCAAAAUCAGUUCAUCUUACAACUCUGAAAUGUGUUUACCUAGUACACUAUCAAGAUUUUAUCACUUGGAAUUCUUGGACCUAGAUGAUUGGCAUGGUAGUUCUGAUUUGCCUGAAGACUUUAGCCACCUUGAGAAUUUACAUGAUUUCCGUGCUAAAAGUGAACUCCACUCCAAUAUUCGGAAUGUUGGAAAAAUCGAGCAUCUGCGGAGGCUAAAAGAAUUCCGUGUUAAGAAGGAGAGUGUGGGAUUUGAACUGAGAGAACUUGGGGCACUCACAGAGCUUGAAGAAGAACUGAUUAUACAUGGUCUUGAACACGUGGAGACCAAGGAGGAAGCCGCUGCAGCCAAACUGAUGUUGAAAACGAAUCUGAAGGAGUUGAAAUUGCUCUGGGACAGAGAUCGGGUAACUAUGGAUGCUGAUAUUCUUGGUGCUCUUCAACCACACUCUAAUCUUAGAGUGCUAACAAUCACAAAUCCUAGUUGUACCAUUGGUCCUAGUUGGUUGUGUCCUGGUAUGUGGCUAACAAGUUUAGAGACUCUCACUCUAGAAGGCGUAUCUUGGAACACACUUCCACCUUUUGGGAAGCUACCAAAUCUCAAGGUACUCACUUUGAAGAGAAUUUCUGGAAUGCGUCAGUUUGGGCCUCGCUGUGGUGGCGCUCCAGGCAAAUGUUUUAUGCGCUUGAAGGAAGUUGGGUUUCAUGAGAUGUCGGAAUUUGCUGAAUGGGUUGUGGAACCUAAUUGUCGUUCCUUUCCAAGUCUUGAAAGAAUCGAAUGUGUUGAGUGUCCCAAUCUCCAUGUGAUGCCAUUCUCGGAGGUGUUUUGGACCAAUUUGCGCAAACUUCGAGUUUCUGGGUGCCCCAUGAUGUCUCUGCCCUCCAUGCCUCACACCUCCACACUGACUGAUUUGGUUGUUAAAAGAGGUGAUUCAGAAAGUUUGGGUUACCAUGAAAAGAAUUUGGUUGUUAGUGGGUACAGCGGUGCUUUGGUCUUCCACAAUCUGGAUAAAGUAGAACAUAUGACUAUUGAAGAUGUAUCACACAUUUCCUUGACAGAUAUUGAUAAGCUUAAAACCAUAACAACACUAGAUAUCAGGAAAUGUGACGGUUUAUUCCCCGAAGAGGUUGAUGACAGCAUUGUCUUCCAUUCAGUUACAACCCUCACCUUACAUGUAUCUCAUCUUAACAGAAAAUCAGCGUCAAAAGUGUUAAACUAUUUUCCGGCUCUUUCUAUGUUGAAGAUAAAGAGUGGUUGCCCUGAAUAUAAGGAGGAAUGUGUGACGCAGUUCCCCUCAUCCAGCUCACUGCAGAAACUUAGCUUUACAUCCUGCAACAGCCUGGUUCUUGUGCCAGUGGAGAAUGGAGGAAGAAUUCAAGAGGACAACUCGUUGCUUCCCUGUGGAGAAUCGAUGAUGAGUUUAAGAAUAUUGAUUUGUGGCAAACUCUUCUCUCAAUGGCCCAUGGGAGAAGCUCAGAUAAUCUACCCUUUCCCUGCUUCCCUGAGGGAACUUGAUGUUUACAAAGAGCCAAGCAUGAAGUCAAUGGCUCUGCUCUCAAACCUCACGUCCCUCACCAGUCUAAAGCUAGUACAUUGUAGUAAUUUAACAGUGGACGGAUUCAAUCCUCUCAUCACAGUCAACCUCAGGGUUUUGGAUGCUAGCUUCAGCAACACCUUAGCAGCAGAUCUGCUCUCAGAGGUGGCCAGGACCAAAUUAUUGCCUGCAAGUUACAUCUCUAGAUUGGAGGUACUCACGGUGGAUGACAUCUCUGGAUUGCUUGUUGCUCCUAUUUGCAAUCUCCUCGCUCCGGCCCUCCACACACUUAAAUUCGAUACUGAUAUGAGGGCGGAAAGCUUCACGGAGGAGCAGGAGAAAGCGCUGCAGCUCCUGACCUCCCUCCAGAAUCUAACAUUUUAUCAUUGCGAUGGUCUGCAGUCGCUUCCUCAAGGGUUGCAUCGCCUUUCUUCCCUCAAGGAGUUACGUGUGGAUUGGUGUUCAAAAAUCCAAUCGAUGCCCAAGGAGGGCUUCCCAGUUUCGCUGAGAUACUUACGUAUAUGGCCGCGCAGUGCUGAGAUAGACGAGCUAAUCGAGAAAAUCGAAAGAACAAGCUCAGAUUUAGUUGCAACCGAUGAACCACCUAUAAUGCCUCGCGCCGCUGAGAUUCUACAUCACCUUUUCUUAUAG
rnacentral:rRNA from 1 species